CCAUCUUCGAGUCCUGCUCAAAAGCCAAAGACUGCCGGGCGUGAUGGCGCAUGCCUGUAAUUCCAGCACUCAGGAGGCUGAGGCAGAAAGAUCCCCGUGACUUUGAGGCCAGUGUGGGCCUCAUGGUGAAUUCAUGGCCAGCCUGAACUACCGUGCAAGACCCUGUCUCCAAAAACAAGAAACAAAAAAACCCCUCAAAGACCACCUCCUCCAGGAAGCCAGGAGGGCACAGGGCCGUGAUUUCAUCUCUAUAACCCCGACUUAUGGAAGGAGAAUGCUGAUGGUUGCUGAUGGCAGGACACUUCCAGAACUAGAAGCAUUGUGAAUAGAAAGGAAGCAUCUGCACCCUUCCUGAGGUCCUCGUGGCAUGCCUGAGUGUCGCCUGGGCAGAAAACCCAGAGACCAGGGGCUCCAGGGAGCGAGAUCCUGUGCUCACAGGAGACACGCUUGGCACCAUCCUCUCGCCUGUCACUCUGCUCUGUUACACAUCCCACGACCUGGACCCAUGCUGGACCUAGGUACUGCACAGUUUAAAAGGUCUUUCUGGGCUGCUCAGCCACACUCUGCCUCUCUGCCACACUGCAUCCGGUCUGUCCAGCCUGGCUGUGGUUUCCUCCCUCUUUCGAUUUCCCAGACAGUGGAUGAAACAUCUCUCAGGUUUCUCUUCUCACUUGUGUAUGUUUGGGGUCUCACCACUCCUACCUCCUGGGAAGUCCCUGAGUACUUGAACCUUCACCCUCCCACUCUUAGGCCACAAUCUAAAAGGUAUGGAGCUGUUAGUAGACUUGGCUGAGGAAGUCCCCCUGCAGCAUCACCCUGCCACCAUCAGCGUGCCAUCAGGCGAGUGGGAAGCCCAGGACAUCCCCCAGCUGAGUGUGUGCUUAACAGGACUCGCCUCUGAGGCCCCCACCCCCGAGGUGGCUGCCAGGGGGAGCCUCAUGGGGCAGCCUCGUAACGCAGGGUUAAUGAGGCCCCAGGCCUGUGAAGUGGGUAGCUCCUGCCCACUCAGCUGCGUCAGGUGACGGCAGGUUAAAGAGCACACGUCCCACAGGGCCCAGCCAACGCCAACAAGUGAUCCCUCCAUUCCAGGCUCAUGCUGCUCACCAUACAUCAGAAGCCCUCUCUGAGUGUGACUCCAUCCCUUCUUUGACAGUGCCAGCCAUCAGGGAGCCAUCAUGAGGCAGCCCCUCAGCCUUUCUCUCCCUCUGCUCCCAACAUCACUCAGUCCCCCAGGCUCCUCUGACACAGGCUGCUCUUGACGACUGUUUCUGCCAGGACUUGUGACCUUGAGACCCCUAUACUCUCCCACAGGCUGGUUGCCAGGUCCCUCCCAGGCUCCCAGAGUCAAGGGAAACUUCCAUUCCCCUGACUCCCAGCUUGCAUGUGGGAGGCUGCCUUGCCCGGGACCUUUCUGCUGGAACCCACUGGCUCACCUGGGUCACAGGGAGGGGCUCUGAUGGGGAAGCGAGGGGGGUUCCAGCAUUCUUCUGGCCCAGACCUCUCUCCCCAGCCCCUCAGCCAGCUGGAAUACUUGGCAGGUUGGGCCACAGCCCUCCCCACAGUGUCAGGAGGUUGGUGCCACCACGAUGCCACUUUACAGAGAAAGAAGGAGGCUACACAGCUCCAAGGAAAGCUAAAUUCAGAUCUGCCCCUUCCAAAAGGAAUCCUUCGCCAGGACAGUGGCUCCUGAGGCCUGUUCCCUCAGCCCCACCUCCCAAUCCCUGUUGGAAAUUACUUUGGAGCUGCUUGGGUGAAGAAGGGAGUGUGGAAGGGGAGGGCAGCAAGCUCUGUCUUCUCUAAAGCUAAGAAACAACAUCUCUGGGGUCAACGUGGCAGGAAGGGAAUCUCCCGGAAGAGAAGUCUCUGGUGGCAUCUCCCCCACCCCUGCGCAGGGCAGAAGAGCCAGAUGGGGAGGAGGGCUCCCUGCCCCCCAGCAAUGCGCCCCUGGCCCGGAGGCCUCUGAGUGUGGCCCCCAAGCCUCACAGGCAACAGCUGUGGAGCCCACUGCAGGGCCGGCUGGGUGGUGACACCCUGCACUGUCACCGGGUCCCCGAGCUCAGAAGGGCCCACUCGCCCUGUGAGGCUCUGCCCUUGCUGUCUUCAAAGUCUUAAUAAUUUUUAAACCAGGGCCCCACAUUUUCAUUUUCCAGUGGACCCCACAAAUUAUGCAGCAGGUCCUGGCCACUCAGGAAGCUCAGAGCUGGCAGGGCCCCACCCCUUCCUCACUGUACAGCGAGGAAACCGAGGCUGGGAGAAGAGGCCAGCCGGACUGGAGUCAGGGCGGCCAGUAGCGGCGGUGGGGUCAGAUGUCUGAGGAGCAGGUGCAGCUCAACACCUUCCUCACUCCUGUGUGCCGUCCCCCGGCCGCCUUCUACACCCUGGAGCCCAGAGUUCAGCCUCCGCCCCGGGGUCCCGUUCCCCGCUGGACUCCUCUCCCACAUGGGACAGCAGCACUUCCUGCCGGCUGGAAGGGGGGGGGGGAGGCGGGACUCAGGGCUUCU
rnacentral:lncRNA from 1 species